UACGUAGAGGGCAAGCGUUGUCCGGAAUCACUGGGCGUAAAGGGUACGCAGGCGGAAAUACAAGUCAAGUGUGAAAUCUACCGGCUCAACCGGUAAGCUGCAUUUGAAACUGUAUAUCUUGAGUAUAGGAGAGGAGAGCGGAAUUCCUGGUGUAGCGGUGGAAUGCGUAGAUAUCAGGAAGAACACCAGUGGCGAAGGCGGCUCUCUGGCCUAAAACUGACGCUCAUGUACGAAAGCUGGGGGAGCAAACGGGAUUAGAUACCCGGGUA
rnacentral:rRNA from 1 species